ensembl:rRNA 5S_rRNA 5S ribosomal RNA
GUCUCCAGCCGCGCCAGCCUGACUUGCCCGAUUCCGGCUGAUCUCGGAAGCUAAGCAGGGUCAGGCCUGGUUAGCACUUGGAUGGGAGACCACCUAGGAAGACUGGGUGCUGUAGGCA